UACGAAGGGGGCUAGCGUUGCUCGGAAUCACUGGGCGUAAAGCGCACGUAGGCGGCUUGCUAAGUCAGGGGUGAAAUCCUGGAGCUCAACUCCAGAACUGCCUUUGAUACUGGCGACCUUGAGUCCGGGAGAGGUGAGUGGAACUGCGAGUGUAGAGGUGAAAUUCGUAGAUAUUCGCAAGAACACCGGUGGCGAAGGCGGCCUUCUGGACGGUGACUGACGCUGAGACGCGAAAGCGUGGGGAGCAAACAGG
rnacentral:rRNA from 1 species